GAUGAACGCUGGCGGCGUGCUUAACACAUGCAAGUCGAACGGAAAGGCUCCUGCUUGCCGGGGUACUCGAGUGGCGAACGGGUGAGUAACACGUGUGUGAUCUGCCCUGCACUUCGGGAUAAGACUUGGAAACUGGGUCUAAUACAGGAUAGGACAUUUGUAUGGAUGCGAUUGUGGAAAGAUUGUGCGUUUUGGGGUGAGCUCGCGGCUUAUCAGCUUCUUGGUGGGGUAUUGGCAUACGAAGGCGUAGACGGGUAGCCGGCCUGAGAGGGGGGACGGCGACAUUGGGACUGAGAGACGGAGCAGAAGCGUACGGGAGGCAGUAGGGGGGAGUAUUGCACAGUGGGGGCAAGCGUGAGGCAGCGAUGUCGGGUGCGGGAUGAUGGCCUUUGGGUUGUGAACACCUGUCUCUGGGGACGAAGCGGAAGUGACGGUACCUGGAGAAGAAGCACCGGCUAACUACGUG
rnacentral:rRNA from 1 species